UGGGGAAUUUUGCACAAUGGGGGAAACCCUGAUGCAGCGACGCCGCGUGAUUUAGAAGGCCUUCGGGUUGUAAAAAUCUUUUCUAUGGGAAGAAAAUGACAGUACCAUAGGAAUAAGGACCGGCUAAUUACGUGCCAGCAGCCGCGGUAAUACGUAAGGUCCGAGCGUUGUCCGGAAUCAUUGGGCGUAAAGGGUACGUAGGCGGGUAAGCAAGUUAGAAGUGAAAUCCUAUAGCUCAACUAUAGUAAGCUUUUAAAACUGCUCAUCUUGAGGUAUGGAAGGGAAAGUGGAAUUCCUAGUGUAGCGGUGAAAUGCGCAGAUAGUAGGAGGAAUACCGGUGGCGAAGGCGACUUUCUGGCCAUAUACUGACGCUGGGGUACGAAAGCGUGGGUAGCAAACAGG
rnacentral:rRNA from 1 species